rnacentral:rRNA from 1 species
GACGAACGCUGGCGGCGUGCUUAACACAUGCAAGUCGAACGGAAAGGCCCUGCUUUUGUGGGGUGCUCGAGUGGCGAACGGGUGAGUAACACGUGAGUAACCUGCCCUUGACUUUGGGAUAACUUCAGGAAACUGGGGCUAAUACCGGAUAGGAGCUCCUGCUUCAUGGUGGGGGUUGGAAAGUUUCGGCGGUUGGGGAUGGACUCGCGGCUUAUCAGCUUGUUGGUGGGGUAGUGGCUUACCAAGGCUUUGACGGGUAGCCGGCCUGAGAGGGUGACCGGCCAAAUUGGGACUGAGAUACGGCCCAGAAUCCUACGGGAGGCAGCAGUGGGGAAUAUUGUACAAUGGGAGGAAGCCUGAUGCAGCAACGCCGCGUGCGGGAUGACGGCCGUCGGGUUGUAAAGCGCUUUAGCCUGUGACGAAGCGUGAGUGACGGUAAUGGGUAAAGAAGCACCGGCUAACUACGUG